rnacentral:rRNA from 1 species
CCUACGGGUGGCAGCAGUGGGGAAUAUUGGACAAUGGGCGAAAGCCUGAUCCAGCCAUGCCGCGUGUGUGAAGAAGGCCUUCGGGUUGUAAAGCACUUUCAGUGGGGAAGAAAGCCUUGGGGCUAAUACCCUCGAGGAAGGACAUCACCCACAGAAGAAGCACCGGCUAACUCCGUGCCAGCAGCCGCGGUAAUACGGAGGGUGCGAGCGUUAAUCGGAAUUACUGGGCGUAAAGCGCGCGUAGGCGGUCUGAUAAGCCGGUUGUGAAAGCCCCGGGCUCAACCUGGGAACGGCAUCCGGAACUGUUAGGCUAGAGUGCAGGAGAGGAAGGUAGAAUUCCCGGUGUAGCGGUGAAAUGCGUAGAGAUCGGGAGGAAUACCAGUGGCGAAGGCGGCCUUCUGGACUGACACUGACGCUGAGGUGCGAAAGCGUGGGUAGCAAACAGGAUUAGAUACCCUUGUAGUC